CAGCUGCAGCUGCAGGAGUCGGGCCCAGGACUGGUGAAGCCUUCGGAGACCCUGUCCCUCACCUGCACUGUCUCUGGUGGCUCCAUCAGCAGUAGUAGUUACUACUGGGGCUGGAUCCGCCAGCCCCCAGGGAAGGGGCUGGAGUGGAUUGGGAGUAUCUAUUAUAGUGGGAGCACCUACUACAACCCGUCCCUCAAGAGUCGAGUCACCAUAUCCGUAGACACGUCCAAGAACCAGUUCUCCCUGAAGCUGAGCUCUGUGACCGCCGCAGACACGGCUGUGUAUUACUGUGCGAGA
rnacentral:lncRNA from 1 species